rnacentral:rRNA from 1 species
UACGUAGGGGGCAAGCGUUGUCCGGAUUUAUUGGGCUUAAAGAGCGUGUAGGCGGCCAUGCAGGUCAGCUGUGAAAACUCGAGGCUCAACCUCGAGACGUCGGUUGAAACCGUAUGGCUAGAGUCCGGAAGAGGAGAGUGGAAUUCCCGGUGUAGCGGUGAAAUGCGCAGAUAUCGGGAAGAACACCCGUGGCGAAGGCGGCUCUCUGGGACGGUACUGACGCUGAGACGCGAAAGCGUGGGGAGCGAACAGG